rnacentral:rRNA from 1 species
UACGGAGGGUGCAAGCGUUAUCCGGAUUCACUGGGUUUAAAGGGUGCGUAGGUGGGCUGGUAAGUCAGUGGUGAAAUCUCCAGGCUUAACUUGGAAACUGCCAUUGAUACUAUCAGUCUUGAAUACCGUGGAGGUCAGCGGAAUAUGUCAUGUAGCGGUGAAAUGCUUAGAUAUGACAUAGAACACCAAUUGCGAAGGCAGCUGGCUACACGAAUAUUGACACUGAUGCACGAAAGCGUGGGGAGUCAAACAGGA